UUUUUGCCUUAGGGAUAGAAGUGAAAAGCCCGCAUUCGCCUUUUACGAAGCGUACUUGUAACGAAUAGCCCGACCCCAA
rnacentral:sRNA from 1 species